UUUCCGUAGGUGAACCUGCGGAAGGAUCAUUAUUGUAUAACCAAUGUCCUAGGGAACUCGUUGCCCCGAAAGAUCAUGCACCCCCGAGUGCCUUCAAACACUUCCAUCUCUCCUCCAUGUUCUUUACAGCACUGGUCAUUAUAUUGUAUAUGCGCUCGGGGGCUUGCCUAUUCACACAAACUUUGUAUGCACUAUAGAGUGUAUUUUUUGUUUUUGAGAUCAGGAAAACAAUACAACUCUCAACAACUGACCUCUUAGCUCUAGCAUCAAUGAAGAACA
rnacentral:misc_RNA from 1 species